rnacentral:rRNA from 1 species
CAGUAGCCACGGGAAUACAGAGGGUGCGAGCGUUAAUCGGAUUUACUGGGCGUAAAGCGUGCGUAGGCGGCUUCUUAAGUCGGAUGUGAAAUCCCUGAGCUUAACUUAGGAAUUGCAUUCGAUACUGGGAAGCUAGAGUAUGGGAGAGGAUGGUAGAAUUCCAGGUGUAGCGGUGAAAUGCGUAGAGAUCUGGAGGAAUACCGAUGGCGAAGGCAGCCAUCUGGCCUAAUACUGACGCUGAGGUACGAAAGCAUGGGAAGCAAACAGGAUUAGAUACCCCCGUAGUCCCUGUCUCUUAUAA